rnacentral:rRNA from 1 species
AACGAACGCUGGCGGCAUGCCUAACACAUGCAAGUCGAACGAGACCUUCGGGUCUAGUGGCGCACGGGUGCGUAACGCGUGGGAACCUGCCCUUAGGUUCGGAAUAACUCCCCGAAAGGGGUGCUAAUACCGGAUAAUGUCUUCGGACCAAAGAUUUAUCGCCUUUGGAUGGGCCCGCGUUGGAUUAGCUAGUUGGUGGGGUAAAAGCCUACCAAGGCGACGAUCCAUAGCUGGUCUGAGAGGAUGAUCAGCCACACUGGGACCGAGACACGGCCCAGACUCCUACGGGAGGCAGCAGUGGGGAAUAUUGGACAAUGGGCGAAAGCCUGAUCCAGCAAUGCCGCGUGAGUGAUGAAGGCCUUAGGGUUGUAAAGCUCUUUUACCCGGGAUGAUAAUGACAGUACCGGGAGAAUAAGCUCCGGCUAACUCCGUG